rnacentral:rRNA from 1 species
GACGAACGCUGGCGGCGUGCUUAACACAUGCAAGUCGAACGGGCCCGCUCUCUUUUUUGGGGGUGGGUUGAGUGGCGAACGGGUGAGUAUCACGUGAGUAACCUGCCCCCUGCUCCUGGAUAACUGCUUGAAAGGGCGGCUAAUACGGGGUGUGCCGGCUGGUCCGCAUGGGCCUGGUCGGGAUAGUUUCAUCUUCGGGUGUUUCGGUGGGGGAUGGGCUCGCGGCCUAUCAGCUUGUUGGUGGGGUGAUGGCCCACCAAGGCGGUGACGGGUAGCCGGCCUGAGAGGGUGGGCGGCCACACUGGGACUGAGACACGGCCCAGACUCCUGCGGGAGGCAGCAGUGGGGGGUAUUGCACAAUGGGCGGAAGCCUGAUGCAGCGACGUCGCGUGAGGGAUGGAGGCCUUCGGGGUGUGAACCUCUUUCUCCGGUGGUGAAGGCCCUGUCCGUUGCGGCGGGGUUGACGGUAGCCGGGUAUGAAGCGCCGGCUAACUACGUG